rnacentral:rRNA from 1 species
GGACGAACGCUGGCGGCGUGCCUAAUCCAUGCAAGUUGAGCGAUGAAGAUUGGUGCUUGCACCAAUUUGAAGAGCAGCGAACGGGUGAGUAACGCGUGGGGAAUCUGCCUUUGAGCGGGGGACAACAUUUGGAAACGAAUGCUAAUACCGCAUAACAACUUUAAACAUAAGUUUUAAGUUUGAAAGAUGCAAUUGCAUCACUCAAAGAUGAUCCCGCGUUGUAUUAGCUAGUUGGUGAGGUAAAGGCUCACCAAGGCGAUGAUACAUAGCCGACCUGAGAGGGUGAUCGGCCACAUUGGGACUGAGACACGGCCCAAACUCCUACGGGAGGCAGCAGUAGGGAAUCUUCGGCAAUGGACGAAAGUCUGACCGAGCAACGCCGCGUGAGUGAAGAAGGUUUUCGGAUCGUAAAACUCUGUUGGUAGAGAAGAACGUUGGUGAGAGUGGAAAGCUCAUCAAGUGACGGUAACUACCCAGAAAGGGACGGCUAACUACGUG